UGAUUGCAUAUAAACUUAGAAUUAUGUUCAAGGAAUGUUGUGUUUAAGGUAUAAACUUAGAAUUGUGUUCAAUGAAUGGUGUAUUUAAGGUAUAAACUUUGAAUUGUGUUUAAGAAAUGGUGUAUUUAAGGUAUAAGUCUUUGAACUAUGUUGAAGGAAUAUUGUGUUUAAGAUAAGAAUGUUUCAUCAUACCAUAUUUUUGAAGAGAAUU
rnacentral:lncRNA from 1 species